rnacentral:rRNA from 1 species
UACGUAGGGUGCAAGCGUUGUCCGGAAUUAUUGGGCGUAAAGAGCUCGUAGGCGGUCUGUUGCGUCGGCUGUGAAAACCCGAGGCUCAACCUCGGGCCUGCAGCCGAUACGGGCAGACUAGAGUUCGGCAGGGGAGACUGGAAUUCCUGGUGUAGCGGUGAAAUGCGCAGAUAUCAGGAGGAACACCGGUGGCGAAGGCGGAUCUCUGGGCCUGUUCUGACGCUGAGGCGCGAAAGCUAGGGGAGCGAACAGG